CAGCCGUAAACUAUGCUCGCUAGGUGUCAGGCAUGGCGCGACCGUGUCUGGUGCCGCAGGGAAGCCGUGAAGCGAGCCACCUGGGUAGUACGGCCGCAAGGCUGAAACUUAAGGAUUGGCGGGGGAGCACAACAACGGGUGGAGCCUGCGGUUUAAUUGGACUCAACGCCGGACAACUCACCGGGAACGACAGCAAUAUGUAGGCCAGGCUGAAGACCUUGCCUGAAUCGCUGAGAGGUGGUGCAUGGCGUAGACGUCU
rnacentral:rRNA from 1 species